rnacentral:misc_RNA from 1 species
AAGUCGUAACAAGGUUUCCGUAGGUGAACCUGCGGAAGGAUCAUUAACACGUAUCCAACGUUAAAACCCCUGUGAACUUUCAGCCUGCUCUUGUGGCCCGUGUGAAGCAGCAAUUCCGGUAAAUCAAGUGGGAGGAACAGUUUUGAUUCGGAACCUCUGCUCCAUAUGCGCACGCUGCAAUUGAGCGGUAGAAGCAGUGGCAUGGCGUCCCCAAGCCUCCAGUGAAUGAAAGUGUCACUGGAAAGUGUAAGGAUAACGCUUCUCGGUUGCUAGAGGUCGAUCACCGACCACGCCGGCGCCGUUGAAAAGCUGCGCUAAAAAAAACCGAACAACUGUUAACAAUGGAUAUCUUGGUUCUC